GUCGAGCGGCGGACGGGUGAGUAACGCGUGAGAAUCUACCCAUGAGUGGGGGACAACCCGGGGAAACUCGGGCUAAUACCGCAUACGCCCUACGGGGUAAAGCAGGGGACCUUCGGGCCUUGCGCUGAUGGAUGAGCUCGCGUCGGAUUAGCUUGUUGGUGAGGUAAAGGCUCACCAAGGCGACGAUCCGUAGCUGGUCUGAGAGGAUGAUCAGCCACACCGGGACUGAGACACGGCCCGGACUCCUACGGGAGGCAGCAGUGGGGAAUCUUGGACAAUGGGGGCAACCCUGAUCCAGCCAUGCCGCGUGUGUGAAGAAGGCCUUCGGGUUGUAAAGCACUUUCAGCAGGGAGGAAGGCUUACCCCUAAUACGGGUGAGUACUUGACGUUACCUGCAGAAGAAGCACCGGCUAAUUUCGUGCCAGCAGCCGCGGUAAUACGAAAGGUGCAAGCGUUAAUCGGAAUUACUGGGCGUAAAGCGCGCGUAGGCGGUGUGUUAAGUCGGAUGUGAAAGCCCAGGGCUCAACCUUGGAAUUGCAUCCGAUACUGGCACGCUAGAGUGCAGUAGAGGGAGGUGGAAUUUCCGGUGUAGCGGUGAAA
rnacentral:rRNA from 1 species